rnacentral:misc_RNA from 1 species
UACGGAGGGUGCAAGCGUUGUCCGGAUUUAUUGGGUUUAAAGGGUGCGUAGGCGGUAUCGUAAGUCAGUGGUGAAAUCUUGCGGCUCAACCGUAAAAUUGCCAUAGAUACUGCGGUACUUGAGUCCGUUCGAGGUGGUUGGAAUGCGUGGUGUAGCGGUGAAAUGCAUAGAUAUCACGCAGAACACCUAUUGCGAAGGCAGAUCACUAGGACGGGACUGACGCUGAGGCACGAAAGCGUGGGGAGCGAACAGG